rnacentral:rRNA from 1 species
GAUGAACGCUGGCGGCGUGCCUAAUACAUGCAAGUCGAGCGAAUGGGUUAAGAGCUUGCUCUUAUGAAGUUAGCGGCGGACGGGUGAGUAACACGUGGGUAACCUGCCCAUAAGACUGGGAUAACUCCGGGAAACCGGGGCUAAUACCGGAUAACAUUUUGAACCGCAUGGUUCGAAAUUGAAAGGCGGCUUCGGCUGUCACUUAUGGAUGGACCCGCGUCGCAUUAGCUAGUUGGUGAGGUAACGGCUCACCAAGGCAACGAUGCGUAGCCGACCUGAGAGGGUGAUCGGCCACACUGGGACUGAGACACGGCCCAGACUCCUACGGGAGGCAGCAGUAGGGAAUCUUCCGCAAUGGACGAAAGUCUGACGGAGCAACGCCGCGUGAGUGAUGAAGGCUUUCGGGUCGUAAAACUCUGUUGUUAGGGAAGAACAAGUACUAGUUGAAUAAGCUGACACCUUGACGGUACCUAACCAGAAAGCCACGGCUAACUACGUGCCAGCCGCCGCCGUAA